UUCUUAAAAAUAUUAAUAACAAAAAUACGAAUAUGUCUAAAAAAGCAAAAAAUCAAUCCAAUACUCCUCAUAUACUUACUCAUGCAGAAAUCUCUAAACGAAUCAUUAAAGAUCCUAAGUUAAGAAAACAUAAAUGUGUAUCAAAUCAAGAUUCGCUAUUGGACCAUAUGAACAAAACUAGAGAGGAGCAAGUAGCUGAAUACAAUAAAAAGAAAGAAGAUUUUUUAAAUGCUGUGCGAGCAUAUAAUCGCAUGAAUACGGAUACCAUGUCUUGCGAGAAAACUAGGCUACAUGACGAGUACGAGGAAAUGUUAUGUGCCGAGUAUUUAAAUUUUUUGAAGGAGACCAAAGCUGAUCCUGAAGAAGAAUGUGAUCCAUAUUGCUGCUGUCCAAAAAGUCUACCUAACGAAACUGGACAACUUUUAAAAAAACGAACUCUUCGAAAAAUGAUGUAUACAGAAGAUCCCAAAACAAAAGUUUGUCUAAUAGCACCUUGGUUCAGGCGCUAUAUGAUUUUGAAAAAAUUUAUAUGGGCGGCUAGAACCGUCAUAAUUCAGAACAGGCUUCUUAAAGUACUAAACAAACUCAGAAUCCUUACAUUUCAAGAUAUUAGAGAAUUAGAAAAAGCAAAUAUAAAAAGCCCGGAAGAAUAUCACUGUCAUCCUGUGUUUCUGAAGUUUUUGUAAAUUUAAUGCAAAUAUAAAAUACACUAUAUAUAUAUAU